rnacentral:sRNA from 1 species
AUGCAGAUUAACCGGAUAAGUACUAAGUACAGCCAUAUUUCAUGUCUAAUUUUGAUGAAUUUGUUGAUUAAGCUGACAAUGUGUUCACAAUUCUGCCGAGAGUUGUUCCCUGGUGACAGAAUAACUAUGCAACAUCGUCCAGUUUCCGUGUGACAGUGGGAAGGGAAAUGGAUUGCAGAAAAUAACAGGAUAUAACUAAACAAAUAAAGAUGCAGAUAUGGAGCAGGAGGAAUUAGUAAAAAGGUUUCCAUUGGACCCCGUGUCCGCAUCGCAUCUUAUACAUGUAGCUCUGGUACCGCAUUAUUACUAAUGAACGCGUAUAAUGCAUGUUUCUAUCUAGCCUUUUAUAACCUUUAAAAUCAUGUACCUAUGUAUAUGUCAUUAUUUGACCUUUCAAAUUGCACGCAAGCUAUGGUACAUAACCAGAACCGGAGGCUCCGGACCUGCAAUCCCAGCUUUAUGAUGGACAGUUUCCACGAAUCUGUUAGCCUACUGUAUUUAGAUAGAGAAUGUAACUUUAGAAUAUAAGCAUUAUUUGUUCACUUUUAAAAAAACACAGAUAGGUAGAAAUUAUCGAAACUGUUAGUUAUGGACUAAUGUAUGUAGACUCGUGUUUGUCAUGGACUAAUGUAUGUACACUCGUGUAAAUUGAUAUUCGCUUCAGAUUGUUUUAGAGAUUUUAGAUUCUGAUUGAAUUUAUAUUUGACUUCUAUAAUUGUGAAACUUCAGUGUUUGUGAGAUCACGCCAAAAUAAAAAACAUAAAUUUUACAAAGU